UAACAUACGACUCGUCGCACUCGCUCCAGCAGUGCGAGUUGUGAGUUUAUUAUUGUCAUAUUAGCAUAUUAAAUAACAUCGUGGCCCACUGAGCUAUCGAAACUGCAGCGGGUUCAGCUGACGUGUGUAAACAUGACAGUGAAGAUGAAGUCUGUGCUGUGGAAUUCUCCGUCGUGUGAACGCAAACGAAGAUAUUAUUCCGUGAAUUUUCAACCAAAGCCAAAGAAAAAGACGAAAAAAAUAAUAAUUUAAAAAUCUACUUUCCUAAUAUUCACUGCGUUAUACUUGUUUAACGCGAUCGUUUAUCAAAUAGAGAGUUAUUGGCCAUUGUUUUUUUGUGCUAUAUACUUAAUUCAUGUUUGAUACAAAUAUAUCCUGCUAUACAUAC